CUCACAGGGAGGAAUUUCUUGCCAGUAUCCCAUUUCUCCCUGCUUUUUGUCAGUGUGAAGCCAUUCCCUGCGUCCUGACACUUCAUCCCUUGGAAAAGGGUCUUUCUCCAUCUUUCCUUCAGCUACUGGAAGGCCACAGCUGGGUCAACCCAAAUCCUUCUCUUUUCCAGGCUGAACAAUCCCAGCUCCUUCAGCCUGUCAGAGACCACGGAGCAGUGGAACACAGAGAGAACCAGAGCGGAGCCAGGGCAGAGCCCAGCGAGGCAGGGACAGACAAGGAAUCCUUUUUAAUUGUCUCACCCUUGUGGUGUGACAGUAACAGAGGGAAGGCAUCUGAGAUUUUAGACAAUUGCUUGUUUCAGCCUUUAACGUAAAAUAUCUACAUAAUAUCUAUGUAAUAUCUGGAAAGUCGUGUGAAGUGUUGCUACCUUACAGAUGUGCUCCUCAAGGGCUGUUCUACAGGUGCUUAAGGAAUCUCCAGUUGUGCCGCUAAUCUCGAGUGCCAUCACUGAAGGAAUUGUGGUGCAAAUGCUCAGUGGAUGGAGCUGACCCCAUCACACUCCCCGGAGCUCUCUCGGGUACCACUUGCCCUGAAGGAGCUGCCACAUUCCAGGCGGGUGCAGGAGGUGGAAGCAAUCUCCCCCUGAUUUCAAGGCUGAGCUGAUCUCCGGGAUGGGCUCUGAGCUGCCAGGUUGUUUUGGGACACUUUCUGCUCAGUCCUGACUCUUCCAAAACGCUCCGUGCGGCUCCAGGGAAUCUGGGACGAGUCAUAGCCUCGGAAAGGGGAGAUGAGGAGAAGCGCUGCCAUCCUUUUCCCUGUGUGAAAUGAGCUGAUUCAGUUUGUCAGAGUGAAAAACAGCCUGUGGGAUAAGAAUAUCCUCGCAGCUGUCUGUGCACUCAGAGGAACUGAAGGGGGUGAAUCAGUGCUCUGAAUACAUCACUGAAGUCUUCCUGCAUCCCCAUGCUCUGAUUGAUGCCAUCAGAUAUCACCUGUUUUCAUGGCACAGGAACUAUAAUUUCCUGACUUCUUGUAGGGCUUGUCAGAGAGACAAUUUAAUACUAAAUGCUGAUUUAUUUGAAUGCAUCUCUCCCUAAGGGAAGCUGCCUCAGUCACUUUGUUUAUGGAGCGUGGGAGACCGUGUUCCGUUAACGUUCCUCCACUAAAUUUGCUGGUCCAAAAUUCUCAGUCCUCCUGCUAUACAUAAAAUAUAGAGAUGUAUUAAGUCAGUGUUUGAUUGCAUUCUUCCUCCUGAAAUUUAAUUUUGGUGAGUCAUGAAAGUUGAGAUUAACUCCUCUGGGCGCUGCACAGGUCAAGGAAGACUGUGAGGACACAUUUUUGGGUUUGUAUUAUUCUUAAUGUUUAAAAGUGAUAUAGUUUUAUUCCUCUUAGCCAUGGAAUAUUUUUUUUAUUCCAAAACUAUGAGUUGCUUUGCUUUUCAUGGGAGUGAAGAACAUUGGUUUUAAAUGGCAGUGAUGGGGUAAAUGCAGUGGACACAGACUGUGUGCCUCAGUAACUCAGACAAGAUCUGAAAUCCACGGAAGGAGAGCAAUGCAU